rnacentral:rRNA from 1 species
UACGUAGGGUGCGAGCGUUGUCCGGAAUUAUUGGGCGUAAAGGGCUCGUAGGCGGUCUGUUGCGUCGGGAGUGAAAACUCAGGGCUUAACCCUGAGCCUGCUUCCGAUACGGGCAGACUAGAGGUAUGCAGGGGAGACUGGAAUUCCUGGUGUAGCGGUGAAAUGCGCAGAUAUCAGGAGGAACACCGGUGGCGAAGGCGGGUCUCUGGGCCGAUACUGACGCUGAGGAGCGAAAGCGUGGGGAGCGAACAGG